rnacentral:ncRNA from 1 species
AAUAUCGAACUGUUAAUGGUUUUAACUACUCCUUUACUAAGCCGUGGUGGGAGAUGUUCUAGAGCACGAAAAAUCUUGUUUGAUUUUCUUAAACAUGCUGAGGUUAAUUCAAAUUCCGGAGAGGGAGCCUGAGAAAUAGCUACCACAUCCAAGGACGGCAGCAGGCGCGAAAAUUACCCACUCCCGGCAAGGGGAGGUAGUG